rnacentral:rRNA from 1 species
GACGAACGCUGGCGGCGUGCCUAAUACAUGCAAGUAGAACGCUGAAGAGAGGAGCUUGCUCUUCUUGGAUGAGUUGCGAACGGGUGAGUAACGCGUAGGUAACCUGCCUUGUAGCGGGGGAUAACUAUUGGAAACGAUAGCUAAUACCGCAUAACAAUGGAUGACACAUGUCAUUUAUUUGAAAGGGGCAAUUGCUCCACUACAAGAUGGACCUGCGUUGUAUUAGCUAGUAGGUGAGGUAAUGGCUCACCUAGGCGACGAUACAUAGCCGACCUGAGAGGGUGAUCGGCCACACUGGGACUGAGACACGGCCCAGACUCCUACGGGAGGCAGCAGUAGGGAAUCUUCGGCAAUGGGGGUAACCCUGACCGAGCAACGCCGCGUGAGUGAAGAAGGUUUUCGGAUCGUAAAGCUCUGUUGUAAGUCAAGAACGGGUGUGAGAGUGGAAAGUUCACACUGUGACGGUAGCUUACCAGAAAGGGACGGCUAACUACGUG